UCACUCUAGCCUGGGAGUGGGAAGAACUAGCUGUCGGAGAGUGAGCUGGAUAAAGGCAGAAGCUUUACUCCUCAUGAGAUUUCCUGCAGUAGAGGCCAAAACUAAGUUACUUGUGAUAAAUUUGUGAGACUUGGCAGCACUGUUUACAUAGAGCAAUAAAGUUGCUGAAUCAUUGAUGGACAAUUCAUGGGCACAGAAGACCUUCCUUCGCUGCUGGUUUGUGGACAAAGGAUGAACUUGAAUCAAAUUGAAUGUUGAGUUCACUUGGUUUGAGCAGAAUCUUUCACACAGCUCUACUAGAGGUGUCUGCAACCAAAUACUAUCAAACAAUGGUUCACUCCAGUGUAUCAGUGGCCUUCAGAACAUCUGCUAGUUCAUCUUGGGCUGCUCUUUUUCUCUAAAAUGGCUGUUAACUGAAUUAAUAUACCUUAAUGCACCUUGAAAUGAGUAAUUCCAGCAUAUGCUAGAAUGUAUUUUACUUCGCCCACUAGCUUUUAAAAUGUUUUAAUGAUUUGUAAAAUGCUUAUUUGCAAAACAGUUAAUUAAAUAAAAGUCAGUAUCUCUCA